rnacentral:rRNA from 1 species
GAUGAACGCUGGCGGCGUGCCUAAUACAUGCAAGUCGAGCGAAUGGAUUAAGAGCUUGCUCUUAUGAAGUUAGCGGCGGACGGGUGAGUAACACGUGGGUAACCUGCCCAUAAGACUGGGAUAACUCCGGGAAACCGGGGCUAAUACCGGAUAACAUUUUGAACCGCAUGGUUCGAAAUUGAAGGGCGGCUUCGGCUGUCACUUAUGGAUGGACCCGCGUCGCAUUAGCUAGGUGGUGAGGUAACGGCUCACCAAGGCAACGAUGCGUAGCCGACCUGAGAGGGUGAUCGGCCACACGGGGACUGAGACACGGCCCAGACUCCUACGGGAGGCAGCAGUAGGGAAUCUUCCGCAAUGGACGAAAGUCUGACGGAGCAACGCCGCGUGAGUGAUGAAGGCUUUCGGGUCGUAAAACUCUGUUGUUAGGGAAGAACAAGUGCUAGUUGAAUAAGCUGGCACCUUGACGGUACCUAACCAGAAAGCCACGGCUAACUACGUGCCAGCAGCCGCCGUAA